rnacentral:misc_RNA from 1 species
UCGGGUACUUUCCUCUUGUACUGUCUAUGGCGUCCCUGGAGAUGGUGAAUUUCACAGAGCUUCUUGUCGUCCAUGACUCUCCUACUGCACCGCCAUUGCCGCCCAUCGGUCCGUUUACAGCGAAGAUGCUCAGGCAAAGGCUCAUUUUCCUCCAUUAAGGAAGGAAAAAUUUUAACUUUCUGGUAAAAUUCGGAACUUUCUCGGGAAAGUGACGGAAACAGUGUGGUUUUUUCGCC